AUCGUUUUGUUCCUCUCGCGAUAGAAAAAGAAGGCGUUAGAGUUCCUCCACUGCAGCCGACCAUGACGCUCCGGCCGCCGCCAGCCGCCCGCCCGCCUCCCAUCCCUGGACGCCGCCCUCGACGCUCCGACCGCCGCCAGCCACCCGCCUCCCAUUCACCGAUGCCGCCCCCGACGGUCCGGCCACCGCCAGCCGCCUGCCCGCCUCCCAUCCCCCGACGCCGCCCCUGACGCUCCGGCCGCCGCCCGCCUCCAUUUCUAAUCCAUGGCGGAGGGGUAGCCCGCAGCCUGCCCCUAGCUCGUCCUCCUGGUUCAAUCCUGGGACUUGCAGGGAACAAGGGCCCAGAUCGAGGCGAGCUCAAGCUCGCCGACGGCCGGCCGCGGCUCGAUCUGCUGCGACCCUCCUCCGUACAUGGCGAUUAUGGGCUAGCUGAUUGCCGCGCACGCUUCUAUCAAUCGGCUGGCUACAAGAUCCAUUCUACAUCCAGGGGUAUUUUGGAUUUUUCAUCACACCACUCAUAGAAUAAGCUGAGACGUCACCAGCCGAAAAGAACUGGAUGAAGUUUUCUCAACAGCUUCUUUUCACGGCCGUUUAUUUGGGCAGCUCAUGGUGGAGCAGCUUCGGCACAAGCUGAAGCUAAAAAGAACUGGGCCCUAAUCUAACCUAUAAUAGAUGCCCCCCAUAGGGGCCUCCUCAGGCCAUCCACGAUAGACACAUCUCGCUCACCGGUUGGGCGUUGCCUCGCUUUAUCUCCACCGGUUGAUCCACGUGGCACCAUAUGAUUGGCGUGGAAGGAGGGGAAAAGGUAGCAGGUCUCCUCCCAGUCGUCUCCCGCGGGUGAGAAAACCCCAUGCUCCAGUGUCCCUCCCUCUCCUCCCGUCGCCCUUCUCGCGCCGCCGCCCUCUCCAUCCUCCCGGGCAAGGGGCGAUGGUCGCCGAAGAGAGCUGGCUGCAGCGAUGCUCCGCCUCGCCAUCCUCCCGGCCAAGGUGUCCAUCAACACGGCUGUAGGUGGUGCGGUCCGGGAAGACGCGUCCGGACGCCGGCAGCGCGAGGGCGCUGAGGAUCUCGGGCUGCAGCAGCCUCCGCCUCGCUAUCCUACCGGUCAAGGUCGUGCAGCCUGACGAGAAGGAUGUUGUGGCGCUGCAGUGGAGAGGAGCUCGAGCCGCCUCCAAAGAUGCCUAGGCACGGCCAAGCUGAGUCGCGGCUGAUUUGGGCAAGGUCGCCCUCAACACGACAUGGCGCCGCCGCCGCCAUUCUCAGCUCAAUAAUACAUCUUCAGUAACAAUGAACAUGCCGCUGUUGUGUAAGACGAAAACCCAAACCAGCCGCAGAUGCCGGCGAGGAGCAUGUUGAGGGAAGGGACACACUGACUGAAUCAUGUGAACAUCAAAUAUAGUUGCAUUUUCUUGAUGUCAGUUAUGACUACCGGCUCCCAUACUGAGCAUGAGUUGAUGAUAUAGAAGCAAAGGCGUCGAGAUGAGCUGAAAUUGUUAGUGGUCAAACCAUGGGAAGGGAGCAAACAGCAAGGCCAGAAACAUGGAUCGACAAAUAUCAUGCAUCAUCUCUUGGGAGAAGACCAAGAAAGCCACGGUCGAGGUAAAGAAGAGGGCCACAGGGAUAAUGUGGCUUAUUUAAGUAAGGUAGUGAAACAACAGUCCUGGAGGUAUGCUGCUCUUUUACAUCCUAUUGUUCUUGAACCAACAGUUACACAAGUACAACAAAAUUGGUCAGAAGCUCUUUAUUGUGAUCUUAUAAUAUAACCUAAAAUGUGUAAUAUUAUAUCUAUUAAAUCAUACUUUUUAUAAACACGGUUGAUAUGGUAUCUAAUAUCUGAGGUAAGCACUUCUUUUUCCUAUAGAUUCUACCAUAUUUAUUCGCUCAGAACAUUACCAUGCUUUGCAAUUGUAUUUGCAAAUUGUAGACAUCAAGAAUUUACCUUCUUUAAUUCUUGAGAAAAGCGUGUAUGUAUGGUUCACCAGGAGUCAAGCAAUAUGUUUAUCAACGAUGGUGCCAGGUUAGAUAUUUUUAGUGAAAACAUGAGUAUUGGAUCUGGUUUUCAGUGUGAACCUACUGGAGAACUCAGUCUGACACUAAUGGUUGAAGUGAUAAUUUUCCUUGAAUGUAAUUUAAUAUUGUCCACCAGUAGUGUUCUUAUUUUUUUACAGAUUUGUCGAGAUGGACGAGGUCGUGGAGCCAAUGAGAGGCGUUGCAGACUCACUGCGUGCUUGCUGCUGGAGAAGGCACAUGAGGUCGAGGUUCCAGAAGUAAUUGAUGUUGCAGCCAUGGGUAUUGCGUUGAUCAAUAGCAGGGCAUCUUACCGCAUCCAGAUAACAGCCUCCAACCACAGUAAGGUCGUUCCAUUCGACUCCAAUUUUUCUACUCGGUUUCUUCUACUUUUAUAGUGUGAUACUGUGAUCUGGAGAUUCCUACACCAAUGAAUAGCAAUAUAUUGUGUAUAAUUUUCCUUAUUUUUCUGCUUUGUUUGGUCCUGGCCAGAGCAGAUGUUGUUCCUCUCCUUGUUUUUCUUUUCAUUGUAAGUAACAUACUCAGCUUGGCUUUGUGGUUUCAUGACUAUACAACAUUGUCUCGAUGGGAGAAGGUGCAGGCGACCUAGCCUUCUCUUACCCAUAUCUGUGAGGGAAGCAGCCUUUAGUGACAACAGCUAAAUCUUGCAAGUUUUUUCCGCCUCCACUAGGAAUCUUCUAUCUUUUUGUGCUCUAAUAAUGGAGUCGGUACAUGUGCAAAUUGAAAUUUCCAUCAUAGAUGCUGCCAGUGAUUGAUUUUCUAUUUGGCAUUUAGGUUGACCCAAAACUAAAGUAGACUAUGCAUAUAAUUUGGCCAUCAGUGCUAUGUAUGCUUUUCCUUCACGAAUUUUGGACAGAUAGAACAGGGCCAGCAACAUGUUUGGGAGAAUUUAAGGAGACGAGGAUGGAGCAGACAGAGUUGUGAAGUCAGAUGUGUGUUAUGUGACUCUGACAUCCCACAUCUCAGCAACAAUUGCUUUUCUGCUUGAUCGGUGUGUGAUUGCAUAGGACAACCUGUAGAAUGCACGGCGCAUUGUGAAUAUUUUUUGUAUGAAUCAUGUCACAAGGGUGUUGGCUACCACUUUAGGUGCUUCAUUACAUGGGCCUUUAUCAAUUGUAGCACAGAGCUUCUAAGCCUUAUUCACCAUCUUUUUUCAGCUGGAUUGAGGUUUGUCUCUAACCAUCCACUUCUCCGAGCUUUCCUUUUGUUAGCGUGUUAAAUUUUUGUGUGUAGAAAUUAAGAGGACCAGACGCAUGCUAUCUUAUUUUGUGGUGAAGCCUACUGCCUUUGGUCAUGUUGUUUCUUUGUAAGGAUUGAUGUGUUAUGACACAUACACAUGCAAACUAUAUUGUUUAUUUAUACUCCUCUUUUGAUACAGAAUGCUUAAUUACCUCGCUUAUACUGCAUACUCAUGCAGGAGGUGCUGAUCAACAGCACAUGAAACCGGCAGCAUGGCAGAUGCCGCCGAUGGAAGGUUCUUCUGGUUUAUCAGCUUGGUUUCGAUCAUUUUGUAGGUUCCCUGGUGUUUCUCCAGGGAUGGUACAAAUGGCUAUAUUCAUGCAGACAAAUAGGGAUGACCCAGCUUCUGGGCAGUCCGCGGGAAGAACUUGGAAACUGGAGGUCCCAGACUUUUUGCAGAACAUGUGGAUAAAAUUAUUCAGGUGAGAACAAAACAUGAGAGUGCACUAGAUCAAGUAAUAAUACAUUUGAAAUUCACAAAAAACUAAUUUCAUAUUUACUAAUCCUAGCAUCGUAACAAUUUCACCUUAUAUCUAAUAUGGUUAAUGUUAGAGUUGUAUAUUUUCAAACCACGGGCAACUUCACAGACAUGCAGGGAAGAUAAAUAAGAGCUGAUAAAGAACAGUACCAGGUUUAGUCACUAAAUCCUUAUUGUUUUUGUAAUUUACAAAAAAACAUCAUUCAGUAAAAGAAUUGGUAAAAUAUUCAACAUUAUGUUUACUUGCAUUUGGGAUCAAAUCAUGUUCUGGUAAAUCAACAUUUAUCUUCUUUCCAUGCUUUUAUUUUUACUCUUAUUUGGAUUGCAUGCAUGUUGUGGUUCCUAGCAAUGGACGGCAUGUUCCCUCCAUGAGCUCGCGCUGCUAAGCAGUCGUGACACCCCAUGAAACCAGUCGCGUGGAGGAUGCUGCCGUUGGAAGUGCUGCAAGAUUUGUUGGAGGUGCAAGCAAAAAAAAAUUUAACGAAAUCCCUGGCAGAAGACAUGCUGAGCUGGGAGUUUAAGCCACACCUUUCUUCUACCUAAUGACAGUGAGGAGGCGAGGUGAGCAUCCACCAGCCCUUCUCCACCAUGUUGCCAACAAAAAUCCAAGCAUGUUGUUCACACUUUUAAUAUUUAGAUUGAGCAGAGAUGUAGAGGGUCUUGCAUCAAUAAGAUUCAGGUUUCUGUUUGA